rnacentral:SRP_RNA from 1 species
UGGCAUGCUAGUCCGGGGCGCUAGCCCUGCCCUGUUGGCACAAAUGGGCUUUACGGUGCGGACGAAGCUCGAGGGGCGGUUGAGCACUAGGGUGUUUGGUCCUUGGCACGCCGUCGAUCCUCUGUCCUCACUGGCCGACGCUCUGAUGAACCGAGUCAGGCCUUAGCGGGAGCAGCUCUCAGUCAAGUGUUCGGUGCUGUGAGGGUCGCGGAGGGGAGGUGCGUCAAGGGUUCACCAGCGCUCCGGUGUCUGAGCCCACCCUCGGGCGCGCAUGCCG